rnacentral:rRNA from 1 species
UUUGAUUAUGGCUCAGGAUGAACGCUAGCGGCAGGCCUAACACAUGCAAGUCGAGGGAGAAGCCCUUCGGGGCAGAAACCGGCGCACGGGUGCGUAACGCGUAUGCAACCUACCUUUCACAGGGGGAUAGCCCGGAGAAAUUUGGAUUAAUAUCCCAUAAUAUUGUUGGAUGGCAUCAUUUGGCAAUUAAAGUUACGAUGGUGGAAGAUGGGCAUGCGUCCUAUUAGCUAGUUGGCGAGGUAACGGCUCGCCAAGGCGACGAUAGGUAGGGGUCCUGAGAGGGAGAUCCCCCACACUGGUACUGAGACAGGGACCAGACUCCUACGGGAGGCAGCAGUGAGGAAUAUUGGUCAAUGGUCGGAAGACUGAACCAGCCAUGCCGCGUGCAGGAAGGCGGCCUUAUGGGUUGUAAACUGCUUUUAUAUGGGAAGAAUAAGGGGUACGUGUACUUUGAUGACGGUACCAUAUGAAUAAGCAUCGGCUAACUCCGUGCCAGCAGCCGCGGUAAUACGGAGGAUGCGAGCGUUAUUCGGAAUCAUUGGGUUUAAAGGGUCUGUAGGCGGGCUAUUAAGUCAGGGGUGAAAUAUUUCAGCUUAACUGGGAAAUUGCCUUUGAUACUGGUAGUCUUGAAUAUUUGUGAAGUUUUUGGAAUGUGUAGUGUAGCGGUGAAAUGCAUAGAUAUUACACAGAACACCGAUUGCGGAGGCAGGGGACUAACAAAUAAUUGACGCUGAGAGACGAGAGCGUGGGGAGCGAACAGGAUUAGAUACCCUGGUAGUCCACGCUGUAAACGAUGGAUACUAGCUGUUUGGUAGGAAUAUUGAGUGGCCUAAGCGAAAAGUGAUAAGUAUCCCACCUGGGGAGUACGCACGCAAGUGUGAAAACUCAAAAGGAAUUGACGGGGGCCCGCACAAGCGGUGGAGCAUGUGGUUUAAUUCGAUGAUACGCGAGGAACCUUACCAAGGUUUAAAAUGGUGACUGACGUACCUAGAGAUGGGUAUUUUCUUUCGGACAGUUAUCAAGGUGCUGCAUGGUUGUCGUCAGCUCGUGCCGUGAGGUGUCAGGUUAAGUCCUAUAACGAGCGCAACCCCUACUGAUAGUUACCAGCACGUAAAGGUGGGGACUCUAUUGAGACUGCCGGUGUAAACCGUGAGGAAGGUGGGGAUGACGUCAAAAUCAUCACGGCCCUUACUUCUUGGGCUACACACGUGCUACGAAUGGUCGUUACAGAGAGCGAGCUACUGCGUGAGCGGGUGCGAAUUCUUAAAAGACGGUCGCGGUUUCGGAUCUCGGAGUCUGCGAACUCGAACUCCGUGAGGCUGGAUUCGCUUAGUGAUUCGCGUUUCGAGCCGUGAUGCGGUGAUGACGUUUCCCGAGCCUUGU